GGUUGACCUCGGAUCAGGUAGGGAUACCCGCUGAACUUAAGCAUAUCAAUAAGCGGAGGAAAAGAAACCAACAGGGAUUGCCUCAGUAACGGCGAGUGAAGCGGCAAGAGCUCAAAUUUGAAAGCUGGCCCCCUCGGGGUCCGCGUUGUAAUUUGCAGAGGAUGCUUCGGGUGCAGCCCCCGUCUAAGUGCCCUGGAACGGGCCGUCAUAGAGGGUGAGAAUCCCGUCUGGGACGGGGUGUCUGCGUCCGUGUGAAGCUCCUUCGACGAGUCGAGUUGUUUGGGAAUGCAGCUCUAAAUGGGUGGUAAAUUUCAUCUAAAGCUAAAUACUGGCCGGAGACCGAUAGCGCACAAGUAGAGUGAUCGAAAGAUGAAAAGCACUUUGAAAAGAGAGUUAAACAGCACGUGAAAUUGUUGAAAGGGAAGCGUUUGCGACCAGACUCGCCCGCGGGGUUCAGCCGGCAUUCGUGCCGGUGUACUUCCCCGUGGGCGGGCCAGCGUCGGUUUGGGCGGCCGGUCAAAGGCCCUCGGAAUGUAUCACCCCUCGGGGUGUCUUAUAGCCGAGGGUGCAAUGCGGCCUGCCUGGACCGAGGAACGCGCUUCGGCUCGGACGCUGGCGUAAUGGUCGUAAAUGACC
rnacentral:rRNA from 2 species